UGGCGGCGGUGGGCGAGCGGCUGGCCGCUGCCUGCGACGAGGGCAUCGUCCUGUCGCGGCUCGGCGGCGACGAGUUCGGCUUCGUCGUCGUCGGC
rnacentral:tRNA from 1 species